rnacentral:tRNA from 1 species
GGAGAGAUGUCCGAGUGGUUUAAGGAGCACGCCUGGAAAGUGUGUAUACUACGAAAGUGGUAUCGAGGGUUCGAAUCCCUCUCUCUCCG